rnacentral:rRNA from 1 species
AUUGAACGCUGGCGGCAGGCCUAACACAUGCAAGUCGAGCGGGGUUUUCGGACCUAGCGGCGGACGGGUGAGUAAUGCGUAGGAAGCUACCCGAUAAAGGGGGAUACCAGUUGGAAACGACGGUUAAUACCGCAUAAUGUCUACGGACCAAAGUGUGGGACCUUCGGGCCACAUGCUAUCGGAUGCGCCUACGUGGGAUUAGCUAGUUGGUGAGGUAAUGGCUCACCAAGGCGACGAUCCCUAGCUGGUUUGAGAGGAUGAUCAGCCACACUGGAACUGAGACACGGUCCAGACUCCUACGGGAGGCAGCAGUGGGGAAUAUUGGACAAUGGGCGCAAGCCUGAUCCAGCCAUGCCGCGUGUGUGAAGAAGGCCUUCGGGUUGUAAAGCACUUUCAGUAGGGAGGAAGCGUUGUGUGUUAAUAGUACACAGCGUUGACGUUACCUACAGAAGAAGCACCGGCUAACUCUGUGCCAGCCGCCGCUGUAAUAC